rnacentral:rRNA from 1 species
AUCUAUAGCCAGACCAGCAUGAAUGCACCUGAUCUUGUCUGAUCUUGGAAGCUAAGCAGGGUCAGGCAUAGUUAGAACAUGGAUGAGAGAAAUGACACUUCCUGCUACCAUUC